rnacentral:snoRNA from 1 species
CAUCCCCUUUAAUAGCGAGCGGACCCUCAGUGCUCACCGCGAGCC